rnacentral:rRNA from 1 species
ACCUGCAAGUCGAGCGGUAACAUUUCUAGCUUGGUAGAAGAUGACGAGCGGCGGACGGGUGAGUAAUGCUUGGGAACAUGCCUUGUGGUGGGGGACAACAGUUGGAAACGACUGCUAAUACCGCAUAAUGUCUACGGACCAAAGGGGGCUUCGGCUCUCGCCUUUAUAUUGGCCCAAGUGGGAUUAGCUAGUUGGUGAGGUAAUGGCUCACCAAGGCGACGAUCCCUAGCUGGUUUGAGAGGAUGAUCAGCCACACUGGGACUGAGACACGGCCCAGACUCCUACGGGAGGCAGCAGUGGGGAAUAUUGCACAAUGGGCGCAAGCCUGAUGCACCCAUGCCGCGUGUGUGAAGAAGGCCUUCGGGUUGUAAAGCACUUUCAGUCAGGAGGAAAGGUUAGUAGUUAAUACCUGCUAGCUGUGACGUUACUGACAGAAAAAGCACCGGCUAACUCCGUGCCAGCAGCCGCGGUAAUACGGAGGGUGCGAGCGUUAAUCGGAAUUACUGGGCGUAAAGCGUACGCAGGCGGUUUGUUAAGCGAGAUGUGAAAGCCCCGGGCUCAACCUGGGAACUGCAUUUCGAACUGGCAAACUAUAGUGUGAUAGAGGGUGGUAGAAUUUCACGUGUAGCGGUGAGAUGCGUAUAGAUCUGAAAGAAUACCGAUGGCGAAAGCAGCCACCUGGGUCAACACUGACGCUCAUGUACGAAAGCGUGUGGAGCAAACAGGAUUAUAUACCCUGGUAGUCCACGCCGUAAACGAUGUCUACUAGAAGCUCGGAACCUCGGUUCUGUUUUUCAAAGCUAACGCAUUAAGUAGACCGCCUGGGGAGUACGGCCGCAAGGUUAAAACUCAAAUGAAUUGACGGGGGCCCGCACAAGCGCUGGAGCAUGUGGUUUAAUUCGAUGCAACGCGAAGAAUCUAACUACACUGAC